rnacentral:rRNA from 1 species
UACGUAGGGGGCAAGCGUUGUCCGGAUUUAUUGGGCGUAAAAGGCUUGUAGGUGGCCACGCCAAGUCGGAUGUGAAAUCUCCCGGCUCAACUGGGAGGGGUCACUCGAUACUGGCGGGCUCGAGGCCGGUAGGGGGAAGUGGAAUUCCCGGUGUAGUGGUGGAAUGCGUAGAUAUCGGGAGGAACACCUGCGGCGAAGGCGGGUUGCUGGGCCGACACUGACGCUGAGGCGCGAAAGCUAGGGGAGCGAACGGG